UGAAGAAUAAGGAUCGGCUAACUCCGUGCCAGCAGCCGCGGUAAUACGGAGGAUCCAAGCGUUAUCCGGAUUUAUUGGGUUUAAAGGGUGCGUAGGCGGUCCUAUAAGUCAGUGGUGAAAGACGGCAGCUUAACUGUCGCAGUGCCUUUGAUACUGUAGGACUUGAAUCUAUUUGAAGUGGGCGGAAUAAGACAAGUAGCGGUGAAAUGCAUAGAUAUGUCUUAGAACUCCGAUUGCGAAGGCAGCUCACUAAGUUAGUAUUGACGCUGAUGCACGAAAGCGUGGGGAUCAAACAGGAUUAGAUACCCUGGUAGUCCACGCCCUAAACGAUGAUAACUCGAUGUUUGCGAUACACAGUAAGCGUCCAAGCGAAAGCGUUAAGUUAUCCACCUGGGGAGUACGGUCGCAAGAUUGAAACUCAAAGGAAUUGACGGGGGCCCGCACAAGCGGAGGAGCAUGUGGUUUAAUUCGAUGAUACGCGAGGAACCUUACCCGGGCUUGAAAGUUAGUGAAUGAUCCAGAGACGGAUCAGUCCUUCGGGACACGAAACUAGGUGCUGCAUGGCUGUCGUCAGCUCGUGCCGUGAGGUGUUGGGUUAAGUCCCGCAACGAGCGCAACC
rnacentral:rRNA from 1 species